rnacentral:rRNA from 1 species
UACGUAGGGUGCAGGCGUUAAUCGGAAUUACUGGGCGUAAAGCGUGCGCAGGCGGUUUCUUAAGUCAGAUGUGAAAGCCCCGGGCUUAACCUGGGAAUUGCGUUUGAAACUGGGAGACUUGAGUGUGGCAGAGGGGGGUGGAAUUCCACGUGUAGCAGUGAAAUGCGUAGAUAUGUGGAGGAACACCGAUGGCGAAGGCAGCUCGCUGGGACGGUACUGACGCUGAGACGCGAAAGCGUGGGGAGCAAACAGG